rnacentral:rRNA from 1 species
UGGGGAAUUUUGGACAAUUGGGCGAAAGCCUGAUCCAGCAAUGCCGCGUGUGUGAAGAAGGCCUUCGGGUUGUAAAGCACUUUUGUCCGGAAAGAAAUCCUUGGCUCUAAUACAGUCGGGGGAUGACGGUACCGGAAGAAUAAGCACCGGCUAACUACGUGCCAGCAGCCGCGGUAAUACGUAGGGUGCAAGCGUUAAUCGGAAUUACUGGGCGUAAAGCGUGCGCAGGCGGUUUGCUAAGACCGAUGUGAAAUCCCCGGGCUCAACCUGGGAACUGCAUUGGUGACUGGCAGGCUAGAGUAUGGCAGAGGGGGGUAGAAUUCCACGUGUAGCAGUGAAAUGCGUAGAGAUGUGGAGGAAUACCGAUGGCGAAGGCAGCCCCCUGGGCCAAUACUGACGCUCAUGCACGAAAGCGUGGGGGAGCAAACAGGAUUAGAUACCCUGGUAGUCCACGCCCUAAACGAUGUCAACUAGUUGUUGGGGAUUCAUUUCCUUAGUAACGUAGCUAACGCGUGAAGUUGACCGCCUGGGGAGUACGGUCGCAAGAUUAAAACUCAAAUGAAUUGACGGGGUCAU